AACGCACAUUGCGCCCGCCGGUAGCCCGGCGGGCAUGCCCGUUCGAGCGUCUUUUAAACCUCUCUCAGUUAAUUCAUGAAUAUAGGAUCAGAGGUUUUACCUCCCCUAUUAUUUAAUGUUUACUGGUGUUAGGAAUCCGUUCAUGGUUUACUAUAGACGGUUGCCUGAAAUUUAUUGGCGCUGCUGCUUGGUGCUCCGCGUGAAUUAAAUUAUAAUCACGCUGGAUUAGCCCAAGUGUCAGCUAGUUGCCUUGCCUUUUGGACAGUUUAUGCUAUGAGUAUUUUUGCAAAGAAAAUACAACGACUAGUCGAUUGUUCAUAUUUAUUUACUUGACCUCGGAUCGGGUAGGACUACCCGCUGAACUUAA
rnacentral:misc_RNA from 1 species